ACUUCUUCCCACUUCGUUCUGGCUAUCGGGAUUCAUCCCCUUCUUCUUCCUCCUCCUCACGUAGCGUUUGCUUAUCACCAUGGUUUCCCCUCACUGACUCCCUCCUCCGCAAAUUCGAAUCGUUUCCAAGUCUUACUUUACGAGCCGAAACUUAAGAUUUGUAAUUUGAGGUGCUGUUGUAGCAAUAUUCUUAUACAAUUGAAACAUUGAAUGGAACUGAAAAUAGAGAUGAAUAGCCUGAAAGAUGCAGUUAAUCGUGUUGUAAAGAAGCAAAAACUGUCUUGCUCUAAAACCCAGGAAGUUAUAAACAAGUUUGUCCGAGAAAUUGAGAAGGCAAUAGGGAUGAUGCAGUCAACCACCGAUGAUUAUAAAUCUGUACUUACUGAACUGAAGACAAAAUUGCAUGAAAUUGAUCCACUCAUAACUUUGGUAGCUCUGGAACAUAUGGGGCAGUUUAUCAUGGCAAAUGGAAAGGUUCGGAUGUAGUAAUCAAAGAGAAUUAAAGCCAGUUAUUUUGCAGGGAAGCCUUCUGAAAGAGAACGAUUGGUAAUAACUGUUAUCACUUUUCCUUUCAUAGCUUUGGUAGCUUGUAAUUUGAGGCUUCUUGAUAGU